AUUGAACGCUGGCGGAAUGCUUUACACAUGCAAGUCGAACGGCAGCACGGGGGCAACCCUGGUGGCGAGUGGCGAACGGGUGAGUAAUACAUCGGAACGUGCCCAGUCGUGGGGGAUAACGUAGCGAAAGUUACGCUAAUACCGCAUACGAUCUACGGAUGAAAGCGGGGGACCGUAAGGCCUCGCGCGAUUGGAGCGGCCGAUGUCAGAUUAGGUAGUUGGUGAGGUAAAGGCGCACCAAGCCGACGAUCUGUAGCUGGUCUGAGAGGACGACCAGCCACACUGGGACUGAGACACGGCCCAGACUCCGACGGGAGGCAGCAGUGGGGAAUUUUGGACAAUGGGCGCAAGCCUGAUCCAGCCAUUCCGCGUGCAGGACGAAGGCCUUCGGGCUGUAAACUGCUUUUGUACGGAACGAAAAGGCUCUGGUUAAUACCUGGGGCUCAUGACGGUACCGUAAGAAUAAGCACCGGCUAACUACGUGCCAGCCGCCGCAGUAA
rnacentral:rRNA from 1 species